AACGAACGCUGGCGGCAGGCUUAACACAUGCAAGUCGAACGGUAACAGGUCUUCGGAUGCUGACGAGUGGCGAACGGGUGAGUAAUACAUCGGAGCGUGCCCGAUCGUGGGGGAUAACGAAGCGAAAGCUUUGCUAAUACCGCAUAAGAUCUACGGAUGAAAGCAGGGGACCGCAAGGCCUUGCGCGAACGGAGUGGCCGAUGGCAGAUUAGGUAGUUGGUGGGAUAAAAGCUUACCAAGCCGACGAUCUGUAGCUGGUCUGAGAGGACGACCAGCCACACUGGGACUGAGACACGGCCCAGACUCCUACGGGAGGCAGCAGUGGGGAAUUUUGGACAAUGGGCGAAAGCCUGAUCCAGCCAUGCCGCGUGCAGGAUGAAGGCCUUCGGGUUGUAAACUGCUUUUGUACGGAACGAAAAGACUCUGGUUAAUACCUGGGGUCCAUGACGGUACCGUAAGAAUAAGCACCGGCUAACUACGUGCCAGCCGCCGCCGUAAGAC
rnacentral:rRNA from 1 species